AGUGAACGCUGGCGGUAGGCCUAACACAUGCAAGUCGAACGGCAGCACAGUAAGAGCUUGCUCUUACGGGUGGCGAGUGGCGGACGGGUGAGGAAUACAUCGGAAUCUACUUUUUCGAGGGGGCUAACGUAGGGAAACUUACGCUAAUACCGCUUACGACCUACGGGUGAAAGCAGGGGAUCUUCGGACCUUGCGCGAUUGAAUGAGCCGAUGUCGGAUUAGCUAGUUGGCGGGGUAAAGGCCCACCAAGGCGACGAUCCGUAGCUGGUCUGAGAGGAUGAAUAGCUACACCGGAACUGGAGCACGGUCCAAGCUCCUACGGGAGGCAACAGGGGGGAAUAUUGGACAAUUGGCGCAAGCCUGGUCCAGCCAUACCGGGUGGGGGAAAAAGGCUUUCGGGUUUGAAAGCCCUUUUGUUGGGAAAGAAAGGCAGCAGGGUAAUACCCCGCUGGUCUGACGGUACCCAAAGAAUAAGCACCGGCUAACUUCGGU
rnacentral:rRNA from 1 species